UACGGAGGGUGCAAGCAUUGAUCGGAAUUACUGGGCGUAAAGGGCGCGUAGGCGGUUGGAUAAGUCAGAUGUGAAAUUCCGGGGCUCAACCCCGGAGCUGCAUUUGAAACUAUUUAACUAGAGGGAACUUAGGGAAAACGGAAUUCCACGUGUAGCGGUGAAAUGCGUAGAUAUGUGGAAGAACACCGGUGGUGAAGACGGUUUUCUAGGGUUUACCUGACGCUGAGGCGCGAAAGCUAGGGGAGCAAACAGG
rnacentral:rRNA from 1 species